GGGCAAUUAGCUCAGUUGGUUAGAGCGCGGCAUUGACAUUGCCGAGGUCAGAGGUUCAACUCCUCUAUUGCCCA
rnacentral:tRNA from 1 species